AGACCGGUCUACUGGUCGUGCUUUUGUACGUACUGGUUUUAUUGGUUUCUCCUUUCUGACGAACUAUAAUGCCAUUAAUUUGGUGUUAUGGGGAAUCAGGACUGUUACUUUGAAAAAAUUAGAGUGUUUAAAGCAGGCUCACGCCUGAAUACAUUAGCAUGGAAUAACGGAAUAGGACGUUUGAUUCUAUUUUGUUGGUUUCUAGGAUCGACGUAAUGAUUAAUAGGGAUAGUUG
rnacentral:rRNA from 1 species